CCUACGGGAGGCAGCAGUGGGGGAUAUUGCACAAUGGGGGGAACCCUGAUGCAGCGACGCCGCGUGGGUGAAGGAGCGUUUCGGCGCGUAAAGCCCUAUCGGCAGGGAAGAUAAUGACGGUAUCUAACGAAUAAGCACCGGCUAACUCCGUGCCAGCAGCCGCGGUAAUACGGAGGGUGCAAGCGUUACUCGGAAUCACUGGGCGUAAAGGGCGCGUAGGCGGGAUAGCAAGUCAGAUGUGAAAUCCUAUGGCUGAACCAUAGAACUGCAUUGGAAACUGUUAUUCGAGAGUAAGGGAGAGGUAGGUGGAAUUGUUGGUGGAGGGGUAAAAUCCGUAGAGAUCAAGAGGAAUACUCAUUGCGAAGGCGACCUGCUAGAACAUAACUGACGCUGAUGCGCGAAAGCGUGGGGAGCAAACAGGAUUAGAUACCCCAGUAGUC
rnacentral:rRNA from 1 species